rnacentral:rRNA from 1 species
UACGUAGGGGGCUAGCGUUGCUCGGAAUCACUGGGCGUGAAGGGUGCGUAGGCGGGUUUCUAAGUCAGAGGUGAAAGCCUGGAGCUCAACUCCAGAACUGCCUUUGAUACUGGAAGUCUUGAGUUCGGGAGAGGUGAGUGGAACUGCGAGUGUAGAGGUGAAAUUCGUAGAUAUUCGCAAGAACACCAGUGGCGAAGGCGGCUCACUGGCCCGAUACUGACGCUGAGGCACGAAAGCGUGGGGAGCAAACAGG